rnacentral:rRNA from 1 species
GACAGAGGGGGCAAGCGUUGCUCGGAAUUACUGGGCGUAAAGGGCGCGUAGGCGGCGCGGUAAGUCGGGUGUGAAAUCUCGGAGCUUAACUCCGAAACUGCAUUCGAUACUGCCGUGCUUGAGGACUGGAGAGGAGACUGGAAUUUACGGUGUAGCGGUGAAAUGCGUAGAUAUCGUAAGGAAGACCAGUGGCGAAGGCGGGUCUCUGGACAGUUCCUGACGCUGAGGCACGAAGGUCAGGGGAGCAAACGGG